UAAUCUAAACCUAUUAUGUAGAUACACUAAUCUACAAGUGAUGACAUAUAUAAGCAUAAUCGCACACAAGGUGUUAACAGUUCCAUACCAGUUCAAUAAUAAGCCAAACUAAGCUAAAUCUCAAUAAUAAACUAAUGACAUCUAAGAUACAUAUACAUAGAAUAUGGAAAGCUAGAAAGAUUACUAUAAUAGAUAAAA
rnacentral:lncRNA from 1 species